GAUGAACGCUGGCGGCGUGCCUAAUACAUGCAAGUCGAGCGAACAGACGAGGAGCUUGCUCCUCUGACGUUAGCGGCGGACGGGUGAGUAACACGUGGAUAACCUACCUAUAAGACUGGGAUAACUUCGGGAAACCGGAGCUAAUACCGGAUAAUAUAUUGAACCGCAUGGUUCAAUAGUGAAAGACGGUUUUGCUGUCACUUAUAGAUGGAUCCACGCCGCAUUAGCUAGUUGGUAAGGUAACGGCUUACCAAGGCCACGAUGCGUAGCCGACCUGAGAGGGUGAUAGGCCACACUGGAACUGAGACACGGUCCAGACUCCUACGGGAGGCAGCAGGAGGGAAUCUUCCGCAAUGGGCGAAAGCCUGACGGAGCAACGCCGCGUGAGUGAUGAAGGUCUUCGGAUCGUAAAACUCUGUUAUUAGGGAAGAACAAAUGUGUAAGUAACUAUGCACGUCUUGACGGUACCUAAUCAGAAAGCCACGGCUAACUACGUG
rnacentral:rRNA from 1 species